UCUUUGAAAACCAGAUAAAGAAAAUGCACUGGAAGGUCUUUCAUAAGUGCGUGCUUUCAUUUUCUUAAAGCCAUAUCAUUUGGUCUUUUUUUUCUUAAAACAGUGAGUAAUUUUCAGCCAAUAAUUUUCAGCCAAGUCGUGGUUUAUUGUGACAUGUUCUGAAUUCUACAGCUUUAGAUUUCAGUGUUUCACGAUAAAUCCUCGGUAAACAGACACACUUCUCGUUCUCCUCCGGGGUAUACCUGUCGCUCCUGAAGUAUCUCCUCACAAUCAUUAAAUUUCUACUCUCAAACAACGCCUCCAUCUUGCUUGUAAUGCUACCAUGCUGUAAGAAUGUCCAAAGAGUUGCGAACUCUACGUCAUCAGAGGCAAAAGUCACGUGACGUUCGGAACACUUGAGUGUUGAUAAUGCCUUGCACUUUUUCCGGAAUUCCUGGGGCGUCCUUGUAUGUAUUGUCGUGUUAUGGAAUCGCUGAUAAAUAUCGUUGAUUACGGACAUACCUUUAAGGGCCUUCCAGCGAAGCCUGGAGUUCUUACUUAAGAGGACGCCGUAGUGUAGAGUUCUGGUGAUGGCUGUUUCUGUGGUCUGACAGA